rnacentral:rRNA from 1 species
ACCCUUUAAUGUUUGAUGUUCUAACGUGGACCCGUAAUCCGGGUUGCGGACAGUGUCUGGUGGGUAGUUUGACUGGGGCGGUCUCCUCCUAAAGAGUAACGGAGGAGCACGAAGGUUGGCUAAUCCUGGUCGGACAUCAGGAGGUUAGUGCAAUGGCAUAAGCCAGCUUGACUGCGAGCGUGACGGCGCGAGCAGGUGCGAAAGCAGGUCAUAGUGAUCCGGUGGUUCUGAAUGGAAGGGCCAUCGCUCAACGGAUAAAAGGUACUCCGGGGAUAACAGGCUGAUACCGCCCAAGAGUUCAUAUCGACGGCGGUGUUUGGCACCUCGAUGUCGGCUCAUCACAUCCUGGGGCUGAAGUAGGUCCCAAGGGUAUGGCUGUUCGCCAUUUAAAGUGGUACGCGAGCUGGGUUUAGAACGUCGUGAGACAGUUCGGUCCCUAUCUGCCGUGGGCGCUGGAGAACUGAGGGGGGCUGCUCCUAGUACGAGAGGACCGGAGUGGACGCAUCACUGGUGUUCGGGUUGUCAUGCCAAUGGCACUGCCCGGUAGCUAAA